AAGUCGUAACAAGGUUUCCGUAGGUGAACCUGCGGAAGGAUCAUUAACACUAAUGAAAUCCAAAACCUUUUGGAUCAACCCAACCUUAGCGAACCGUUCGUAUUUUCCCUUGCCCAAUUUUACCAAACGCAAAAAAACUCUGAUGUAAAGUGUCUGAUUAUUAUUCUCGUUUCGGUUGUAACGACCAGCGGGAAUCAAAAUCUAACGCAAUACAACUCUUAACAACGGAUAUCUUGGCUCUC
rnacentral:misc_RNA from 1 species